rnacentral:rRNA from 1 species
AGUGAACGCUGGCGGCGUGCUUAACACAUGCAAGUCGAACGAGAACGGGAUAUAGCUUGCUAUAUUUGUCAGCUAAGUGGCACACGGGUGAGUAAUGUAUAGAUAACCUGCCCUCUAGAAAGGAAUAACAGUUGGAAACGACUGCUAAUGCCCUAUAUGCCUUUAAUACAUAAGUAUGCAAGGGAAACGCUUUAGUGCUAGAGGAUGGGUCUGUAUGGUAUCAGCUUGUUGGUGAGGUAAUGGCUCACCAAGGCUAUGACGCCUAACUGGUUUGAGAGGAUGAUCAGUCACAAUGGAACUGAGACACGGUCCAGACUCCUACGGGAGGCAGCAGUGGGGAAUAUUGCACAAUGGACGAAAGUCUGAUGCAGCAACGCCGCGUGGAGGAUGACACAUUUCGGUGCGUAAACUCCUUUUAUAUAGGAAGAUAAUGACGGUACUAUAUGAAUAAGCACCGGCUAACUCCGUGCCAGCCGCCGCGGUAA